rnacentral:lncRNA from 10 species
GUAAAAAGUUCUUUCCCUUUAAGAUGUGUGGUUUGUCUGGUGACUGCGUCAACCUGAGCCCAGCCUCACUGCCUAGGGUCAUGCAGAUGACAUGGGCUGUCUGAUCCAGCCCACUCCAGCAGUGGUCUUGGUGGGCCCACCUCAUCCCUCCGUCCUGAGCCACACUACUUUGUGGAACUUUGGCCUCAGGAUCUUUCAAGAAGGAGUCUUUCUCCACAGCCACCACAGGUUGGCAUAUGUUGAAUCUCACCCAAAGCCAGCACAUCUCUGAGUCUCACCCAAGACCCACGACAGAAUCACUUCAUGUGUUACCAGCCUCGCUCUCCACUGGAUGAACUGCAGAAAGCCUGAAAAAGGACAGCCAGCCACUUCGAGCAGAUCUUGGAAGAAUCAGUCUCCUUUUAAACAAAGCUCUAAUUUAAUAUUUUUAUGGUAAAUAAAAAAGAAAGUGGAAGAUGCCUACAUUUUUGCUAAAGCAUAAUAUAAAAAGAACAGAAAAGAACCACACCCUGCAAACCCAUGCUUCAGACAACCAGAUGCUAGAGAGGUGGAUGCUUCAGACAACCAGAUGCUAGAAAGGUGUAUUGUAGAUGACUUACUUUCUGCAGUUUGAAAGCUUAUACAUUGCAUCUGAGGACUAAGUAAUGUUUUGUAUUGGAUAAAACAAAUUUCAUUUCAAUAAAAUUUUCAAUUUCUUUUUUAAUUUUUUCACUGACCUACUUGUCAUUCAGGAGCUUGUUGCUUAAUUUUUGUGUAUUUUUACAUUAAUAGUUUCCAAAAUAGCUCUUGUUAUUAAUUUCUAGUUUAAAUAAAACAAAUUUUAAAACUUCAAAAAAUAAAAAUAUUUUUAGAACCUGUUUUUAUCACUUUGCUUCACCCUGAACCCUUAUUUUCUCAGAGGCUUCUCCUCUGCUAUUCUCCAUCUCUGGCCCUCUCCCCUCCCUGACUCCCCAAAGAACCAAAGUAGAAAAUUAUCUCCUUAGAAAAUGCAUAUCUAUCCUUAGUAUCAGCUCAACCUUGAUCUUUAGAGUGAAAAUGCUAUAGGUUAAAUUUAAAUAAAACACAUGCUAUUAUAGGUUAAAUUUAUAUGUUGAGAUCUUAAUCCCAAAAACUCCAAAUGUGACCUUAAUUGAAGACAGGGUUGUUGAAGAUGUAAUUAAUUAAGGUGAAGGACUUAGGGUGGGCCCUAAUCCAAUGUGACUGGUGUCUUUAUUA